rnacentral:rRNA from 1 species
UGCAAGUCGAUCGGUAACAGGUGUAGCAAUACAUGCUGACGAGAGGCGGACGGGUGAGCAAUGUUUGGGAAUCUGCCUAUUAGUGGGGGAUAACCCGGGGAAACUCGGGCUAAUACCGCAUACGCUUUACGAAGGAAAGCCGGGGACCGCAAGGCCUGGCGCUAAUAGAUGAGCCCAAAUCGGAUUAGCUAGUUGGUGAGGUAACGGCUCACCAAGGCGACGAUCCGUAGCUGGUUUGAGAGAACGACCAGCCACACCGGAACUGAGACACGGUCCGGACUCCUACGGGAGGCAGCAGUGGGGAAUAUUGGACAAUGGGCGAAAGCCUGAUCCAGCGACGCCGCGUGGGUGAAGAAGGCCUGCGGGUUGUAAAGCCCUUUCGGUUGGGAAGAAAAGUGUCGACCUAACACGUCGGUACCUUGACGUAACCAACAAAAGAAGCACCGGCUAACUCUGUGCCAGCAGCCGCGGUAAUACAGAGGGUGCAAGCGUUAAUCGGAAUUACUGGGCGUAAAGCGCGCGUAGGCGGCUUGACAAGUCGAGUGUGAAAUCCCCGGGCUUAACCUGGGAGCUGCAUUCGAAACUGUCUUGCUAGAGUAUGGGAGAGGGAAGUGGAAUUUCAGGUGUAGCGGUGAAAUGCGUAGAUAUCUGAAGGAACAUCAGUGGCGAAAGCGACUUCCUGGACCAAUACUGACGCUCAGGUGCGAAAGCGUGGGGAGCAAACAGGAUUAGAUACCCUGGUAGUCCACGCCAUAAACGAUGAGAACUGGAUGUUGGGAG